rnacentral:rRNA from 1 species
UGGGGAAUAUUGCACAAUGGGCGCAAGCCUGAUGCAGCAACGCCGCGUGAACGAUGAAGGUCUUCGGAUCGUAAAGUUCUGUUGCAGGGGAAGAUAAUGACGGUACCCUGUGGGGAAGCCCCGGCUAACUACGUGCCAGCAGCCGCGGUAAUACGUAGGGGGCUAGCGUUAUCCGGAUUUACUGGGCGUAAAGGGUGCGUAGGUGGUCUUUCAAGUCGGUGGUUAAAGGCUACGGCUCAACCGUAGUUAGCCUCCGAAACUGGAAGACUUGAGUGCAGGAGAGGAAAGUGGAAUUCCCAGUGUAGCGGUGAAAUGCGUAGAUAUUGGGAGGAACACCAGUAGCGAAGGCGGCUAUCUGGACAGUAACUGACGCUGAGGCGCGAAAGCGUGGGGAGCAAACAGG